rnacentral:lncRNA from 1 species
GUUUGAAAAUGUCUCAUAGCUGCCUCGAAGAUCUCAGGUGCAGCAUUGACUACACUGAUCAAUCUAAGGUAGGAUAAAUGGAGGUAAGGAUUCAGAAAUCAUUGAUCCACCACGUCAAUAUAUGUACCUCCACAUGAAGAAUGCUGAGGGUAUCAAGUGGACAUCUUAAAAGUCAGAGGGCAAAAGAUGCAUCACUACUAGCAUUUUACGUAGAGAGUCUGGGGAUUCCUGCCUUGAUUUUUCUGCUACCCACAUCCUCAUUCUUUUCAUUUCACUGCUUCUCAGGCACAAGGACUAUUUUCCUGGUUCUCUAGAAUGCUGCUAGAAGGUAAGGAUUGGUGUAUCUGCCUGCAUUUCUACAGGAGUCCUCUGCAAAGCCAUUGGGCACCACGGAAGGGAAAUGCACGACAGAGAUGAAACAGAGGCUGUGUGCUCUCUCCCUACUCACUGACCGGUAAGCAUACAGUGAUACCAGGAACCAGGAUUUCCUGGUAUGCCAAAAACGGGAUGUGCCCCAGCUGCUGCUGCCAAGGCAGCCAGCGACAGAGACAGGGACAGAAUGACCCGCCUCGGAAUCCAAACUCAAGGGUUGCUGCAGAUGAAUUACUGCCAACUUCGUAAGACAAACUGGACAAACUCCCAUCAUGCCGGGUGAUGAAACAAUUUCCAGGAUUUCAUCCAUGGCACAUCCCCAACCUUGGAGUAUUUUCCCUGCUGGCUGUGAGAUCACUAUACAGGAAUACUAUAGAGGCAAGCUCCAAAAAUGUUAUGCAAUUUCAUAGGGUCAAGAUUUGGACCUGGAAAGGACCUCAAAGGUUAUCUAAGAAGAAUGGAAAUGUUUCAAUAAUGCAGGCUGUCUCCUUUGACUAUCAGUUAACCCUUCCAUUCGCUACUUGGCUUAACUGGGUCAAAUCUAGGCUUGCGCCAUUCUGUUUCAAAGUCCUUCAAACCUACCCCGAAUCAGUCUGCUCAAUUUAACUGCUUAUCUCUUCUCAGACUAAUGAUCUUCUUCCAAACCUCCUCCUGUCCUGGGGAAUAGUCUCCCCAGCCCUGGUCACCUGUUUCUUUUCCGUCAUUCACAUCCAUACAAAUGGCUCAGAUUUCUCUAGCUUGGAGACCAAAUUGGAUCACAGAAUUUGGAACUCAAAGGAUAUUUAGAGCUAAUCAAUCGGGUCCAGCCUUUUCAUUUCACAGAUGGGGAAGCCGGGACCUAGAGAAACCAAGUAGCUUGCUUAUAAUCACAAAGGUAGUAAAAUAGCAGGGUCAGGUCAUGAAACCAGGUCCUUUGACUUCAAAUUCAUUUUUAUUUCUACUCUGGUAAGUCACCUCUCAAUCAUCUUUAAGCAAAAGAGCCAUAUCACUGCUAGGAGCCCUACAGAAUCUGGUCAUACGUGAUAACUAUCUGUAUAUGAAAUAACCAUAAAUGGCUCAACCACUUUAGUUUGACGACCCUCGAUUCAAACAAUCCUAAAGUCCACCUUUUUCCAUAAAGUCUACCCUAAUUGCUGGGAGGAAAGGUGAUGGUUUCCCCCAAUUCCUUAUCAAACAAUCUCUUUGCUUCCUUGUGCCCCACUUGGCAUAGCGGAUACAAUAUUAAAAGUAGAGUCAGGAAGUCUUGGGUUUGAAUCCUGUCACUAAUCCUUACUAGCUGACUGACCUUGAAUAUAUUAUUUAACUUUGCCAAGGCUCAGUUUCCUAAUCUGUGAAAUGGGGAUAAGAAUAACACCUACGAUUCAUAUAAAUGGAUAGAAAGUCAAGUAAGCAGAACCAAGAAAACAACAUACACAACGACCACAAAAAUGUAGGUGGAAAGAACAACAUCACCACAAUCAAGAUGGAACGCUGUGAAAUUAUGAUGACCCAGCUUGGCCCCAAAGAAGAAAAAGGGGACUGUACCUUCCUCCCUUCUUUGCAGAGGUGGUGGACCACAGUUGUGGAAUGCUACAUCUCAUGUCAGACUUGGCUGAUCUUGGCUGGU